rnacentral:rRNA from 1 species
UACGUAGGGUGCGAGCGUUAAUCGGAAUUACUGGGCGUAAAGCGUGCGUAGGCGGUCCGCGAAGUCUGAUGUGAAAGCCCCGGGCUCAACCUGGGAACUGCAUUGGAAACUAACGGACUCGAGUGUGGCAGAGGGGGGUGGAAUUCCACGUGUAGCAGUGAAAUGCGUAGAGAUGUGGAGGAACACCGAUGGCGAAGGCAGCCCCCUGGGCUAACACUGACGCUCAGGCACGAAAGCGUGGGGAGCAAACAGG